rnacentral:tRNA from 1 species
GGUAUUGAGCUCAGUGGUAGAUCUCUUGCCCAAGCAAGUGCAAGGAUCUGGGUUCAAUCCUCAGCAUUGCCA